GCUGCCAAGACAACCAGGGCUCAGGCCGACUAAUUGGUGUGUCUCGGCAUCAAAUGAAAAUGGAAAAACCAGUGUGCAGAAAGACAGAGGAAUAAACAACAACAAAAACUAGAGUGAAGUGUUUGUUACUGUACUGCUCAUCACCGUUUAAAAGAUCCUCAGCGAUAACCGUGCCUUGACACGCACAAAGGCAGUGAAGAUCGGACACCCAGGGCACCAGCUCAGAUGCCACCUGAUGCUGUGUCUCAUGUGGCCAGAACUGAAGUCAUCCUCCCCUCAGGAAGCUGCACAACACCAGGAGAGAACUGGCAUGGGAAGCACUGCUUCAGAUGAGACUCCCAGGCAUCAGUGACCACUGUUAGACACAGAUGUGUGUAGUCCAGGGUCACAAGGAGGAUGUGGCCCAGGGUCUCCAUGUCACGACAACUGAAGGCAUCUACAGAAACCUCUGAAAUGAUGACAUGAGCAGCACCAACCCAUGUCCUGACCAGAUCAGGAAUAUCCACGUCAGCAGUGCUCACGUGUUCUCAGGAACUCGGGCAAGUUUGGAGCGCUGUACACCCAGGCUGUGAGUGGAAAGCCCCGGAUCUCAUCUGCUCAGUGAGUGAGGACACCUGGAAAAGCUCAUGUUUCUGUGUGGAGCCAUCUUCAACCUGCAUACAGCAAAAGCUCCGAACCUGCAGACCAUGUCAGUUUUGUGUGGAGGAAUCUACUAUGUGAUUGUGGACAGAAGUCCCCAUACACAUCUGGACACCUGACUACUUAGGGACAUGGGAGGAUGCUCAACGUAUAGGUGAGCAGAGCCACCACCCACAUGUCCCGACACACUCAGGCAUUUGUGAAGAUCUGAGCAACAUGAUGUGAAGAGUGGCCCUCCAUGUCCUGCCAAUCAGAGCAUGUGUGGUCCCUCUACAAACCAUCUGAGGCACAAGUGGUGCCUGGUACAAUGUAGUCGAGAGGGAAGCCCCACUCUCUCCUGUAGACCAGGCCUUCACAAUGGCCACAUGGCCAGAUCUCCACCAUCUCAGGCCUGUUGUGUCCUGCCCAUGAUCAUGGGAGUUGAUAUCCUCAUAUACAGAAAUUCUCGGGCGUAAGUUGAGUCCUCUUCAAAAUGGGCAUGAACAAGCUCCCCCUCUAUCCACUUCUAGCAGCACAGUGACCCCUGUACAAUGUGUUUAUCACUGAGGUUCCUAUUUCCUUGCUAACAGGCUGUGUAUGGACCCUCCAUAUAUAACUGUGAGUGGAGCUAGCCCCAUUCCCUGACCUGUCAUCACAACCAGUCAUUUAGGGAAUCCUGUAGAAUGGAAACUUAACCUAAACACUCCCCAUGUCUUCAUCACAUGUGUAGUGACUUGGACAGUGUAAUCGAUAAACCAACUGUCUGUUCAUCUUGUUGGAAACACUAAAAUACUGUGAACAUGCUCCCUGUGUCUGACUACAUCACGAAGGAGUGAUAUAGGCAGGGACACUUGUCCAUGUCAUGAAGACCUCAGACAUUGGUGGAGCCCUAUACAAUGAGAACGUGACCCAAGCCUCUCCAUGUCCCUACUUACGGGAAUGUGUGGAGUCCUUCACGACUUGGAUGGCAGCCGAACUAGCUAACAAGACCAACUUGGUUCUCUGGAGGUCUCUGUUCCAAGGAGGAAGUUAUCAGAGCUGUCUAUUUCCUGACCACCUCAGCAGGUUGUCAAGCCUUCUUGAAACAAGGAAUUGAGUAUUGCCCUGCUGUUUUGACCAGAAGGGGAUCAUGGAGCCCUCUGUAAUGAGGUUGUAAGCAGAGCACAUCCAGGAGGUGGCACACACUUCUACAUGGAUGGAGUAGAUCCCCCAGUAUCCUGUACAUUUCAGAAAAGAGCAGAGACCUCCACAGCAUGGAUAUGGAAGAUCCCUUAAUAUCGUGACCAUCUUCAUGGGAUGGGGGUCCUAAUACACAUGGAGGUGAGCAAAGUCGCCCCCAUGUCCUGACCCUCUCAGGUGAAGAGCUGUACAGUGAGAUGUGAGCAGACACCGCCAUGCCCCAUCCAAGCAUCCAAGUGGUCUUAGCCUUCCCCAAGCUGCCUAAGGCCCCCACACAUGCCGAAUAUACAUGAUAUGUGGGAGACCUCCCUGACCUGGACAUGCACAGCACCUCCCAUGUUCAGACCAUCUCCAGCUAUAUGUGGAGCUGUCUACAGUGUAGAUGGGAAAGAACUGCCCCACUCUUUCUGAGGUGUGUGUGUGUGUGUGUGUGUGUGUGUGUGUGUGUGUAUCUGUGGAGCCCUCUCCAAUGGAUGGGCGAGCAGAGCUUUGUAGGGCCAGGCCCCUAUAUAACGUGUGGAGCCCUUCACUAGGAGGAUGUGAGUAGAGCCCCGCCUACCACCACGUUCUGGUCCUGUUGGUCACAUCCCAGCCACUGAAGCCACGCCACAUGGAGUUCCCUCCAACUCAAGUAGGAGCUGAUCCGGUCCCCGAUGUCUGAUCACGUCAGUUAUGUGUGCUGCUCGUUAAUUGGGGGUGGGAGCAGAGGCCCCACGCCAUACCCCCACUAUCUCAGGUGUGUGAGAAGUGCUCUACAGUGAGGAUGUCUACAGUGGCCAGUCCUGACCAUCAGUGUGUGUGGUGUCCAGUAAUAUGUGGACAUAGGCAGACGCCUCAAGCCUUCACUGGCUCAGGUAUGUGGAACCCUCGAGAAAGUCACUACACUCAGAAUGACCCAUCCUCACAUUCUGAGCCCUCUAAGUGUGUGCGAAGGCUUCUACAAUGUGGAUGUGAGCACAGUGGUGCUGCCCUAGGUCCUGACCAUCUCAGGUGUGCGAGAGGGACCAUCCACAUGUUGAUAUAUAUGGAUGUGUUCAGAGCUCCUAUAUCUGGGCCAUCUCAGGGGUGUGUGAGUGCCUCUAAAAUAUAUGAGUGAGUAGAGCCCCCUACAUCCUGACAUCACAGGCGUGUGUGGAGUGCUCUACACUGCAGAGAGGAGCAGAGACCUCCACUCACUGAGUUUAACCAUCCCGUGUGUGGAGCCCCAUCUGUGAUUUCAGUACACUCCACCCUAUCCUCAGAGCAGUCGUGUCUGCAGCCUUCUACAACAUGGAUGUGAGCGGAGGCCCUCACCAUUAUCACAUGGACUGGACUCCCUACAACAUGGAAGUGAGCAACGCUCCCCCAGCCCCAGCUACCUAUGGUAUGUGGACAGCCCUAUCAAAAUGGGUACGAAACGAGACCCCAGGGCUGACAGGUCAGGCACGUGGGGCACCUCUGCCAGGUCACCCUCUAACUGGCUGGAGAAACCUCACCAAGGUGGAUGUUGGCAGAGCCCCUCCUGUCCUGGCCAUCAGUAGGGACAUGGGAAAGGACAGCAUAAACAAAGAAACUGUUUAUGCAGACAGCAAACAACCUCUGUGAACAAACUUUAGCUCAUGUCACAGUCUAAGCCCUGACUGCUAUACUGCCCUGUGUAACAAGGCAUUUUUGCAUUUUAUAUCACUAGAGACAAAUAAAGGAAAUCCAUACUCAUUUGGGCAAAGUCAACUCAGGACCAGAGUGAGACCAGCUUUCCAGUCACUGAGUUAAUGCACAGCAAUGCUGAGAAAAGGUCAGAGAUCCUAACUCUGGAGCUUAAAUGGAAGAAACUCCCGAGAGACCAUUUCAGCCACUGAACCAUUUCAGAGCAUAUCUUUGAAGUCUGAACUAGGCUAAUUGAAUGGAGUGAAUUUGGAAGGUUAGUGAAAAGAGCCCUUUGUUCACUACCAUCCUGCACAGCCUGGCAGGAAUGAUGGGCUGCUGCCCAGGACACUGCCAACCCUCCUGAUGCCAGCAAAGGCCUUUAGGUGACGUCUUGUGAAAGGGCUCCAUACUGCAGGCCACAUACCCAGAGGGCAAGUAGGCUGUUUACAGAACCUAAAUGUGGAACACAAGCGUGGUUCUGGGGCCAGUGCAGACACGAGCUGGAUGUGCCAGCCAUAGCUUAGCUAGGAAAACAGGAAAGGACUGAGGCAGGGAAUGGCUGUGUUUGAUGUAGGGAGAUCUUCCUGAGACUUCAGACAUCAAGUGCCUGAAAAUGCAUUUAUCUCUAAAGUUUGAGUAACAUUUGGCUCAUGCACCUUCCCUACCACUCACUCCACACAAAGAGACUCAAAACUAUCUCUGCAGAAUGGAGGCUCAAAACUGAUGCCUUUAUUGAAAAGUACAUGUAAGUCGGGAAGGCUAAACAGGGUUCCCCACACUAUCGAAAUUUGAAAUGCAUCCUAAUGAGAUAAUUGACAAUGAGAAAUAGGAAGAAUAG